rnacentral:tRNA from 6 species
GGGGGAUUAGCUCAGCUGGGAGAGCGCUUGCAUGGCAUGCAAGAGGUCAGCGGUUCAAUCCCGCUAUCCUCCA